rnacentral:tRNA from 1 species
GCCAGCGUAGCUCAGUUGGCAGAGCAGCUGUUUCGUAAACAGCAGGUCAGCGGUUCGAAUCCGCUCGCUGGCU